AUUGAACGCUGGCGGCAUGCUUUACACAUGCAAGUCGAACGGUAACAGGCCUUCGGGUGCUGACGAGUGGCGCACGGGUGAGUAAUGCAUCGGAACGUACCCAGAGGUGGGGGAUAACGCAGCGAAAGCUGCGCUAAUACCGCAUGUGAUCUGAGGAUGAAAGCGGGGGACCGAGCAGCAAUGUUUGGCCUCGCGCCUUUGGAGCGGCCGAUGUCGGAUUAGCUAGUUGGUGGGGUAAAGGCCUACCAAGGCGACGAUCCGUAGCUGGUCUGAGAGGACGACCAGCCACACUGGGACUGAGACACGGCCCAGACUCCUACGGGAGGCAGCAGUGGGGAAUUUUGGACAAUGGGCGCAAGCCUGAUCCAGCAAUGCCGCGUGCGGGAAGAAGGCCUUCGGGUUGUAAACCGCUUUUGGCAGGAACGAAACGGUGUCCGCUAAUACCGGGCGCUAAUGACGGUACCUGCAGAAUAAGCACCGGCUAACUACGUG
rnacentral:rRNA from 1 species